UUUUGGGGGCUCCCAGCGGCGCCUCCUGCUCCGAUCCCGGCUCCGUUUCCAGGCGGCCGACGCCGACGGCGACCGGCGCCUGCGCGGGGAGGAGCUCCAGGCUUUCCUGCAUCCCGAGGAUUUCCCGCACCUCCUGCCCCUCGUGGCUCAGGAGACGAUCGAGGAUCUGGAUCGGAACGGGGACGGAUUGAUCCAGGUGGACGAGUACAUCGCCGAUCUCCAGGAGGCUCCCCCGGGCUCUCCGGAGCCUCCGGAGCAAUUCUGGGAUUGCCUGGAGCCCAAUGGGGAAUUUGGGAAUUCUGGAU